AUACGAAGGGUGCAAGCGUUACUCGGAAUUACUGGGCGUAAAGCGUGCGUAGGUGGUUGUUUAAGUCUGUCGUGAAAGCCCUGGGCUCAACCUGGGAAUGGCGAUAGAAACUGGGCGACUAGAGUGUGGCAGAGGGUAGUGGAAUUCCUGGUGUAGCAGUGAAAUGCGUAGAGAUCAGGAGGAACAUCCGUGGCGAAGGCGACUGCCUGGGCCAACACUGACACUGAGGCACGAAAGCGUGGGGAGCAAACAGGAUUAGAUACCCUGGUAGUCCACGCCCUAAACGAUGCGAACUGGAUGUUGGGUGCAAUUUGGCACGCAGUAUCGAAACUAACGCGUUAAGUUCGCCGCCUGGGGAGUACGGUCGCAAGACUGAAACUCAAAUGAAUUGACGGGG
rnacentral:rRNA from 1 species